CAGCCGCCGCGGUAAUACGUAGGUCCCGAGCGUUGUCCGGAUUUAUUGGGCGUAAAGCGAGCGCAGGCGGUUAGAUAAGUCUGAAGUUAAAGGCUGUGGCUUAACCAUAGUACGCUUUGGAAACUGUUUAACUUGAGUGCAAGAGGGGAGAGUGGAAUUCCAUGUGUAGCGGUGAAAUGCGUAGAUAUAUGGAGGAACACCGGUGGCGAAAGCGGCUCUCUGGCUUGUAACUGACGCUGAGGCUCGAAAGCGUGGGGAGCAAACAGGAUUAGAUACCCGUGUAGUCCCUGUCUCUUAUACA
rnacentral:rRNA from 1 species